AACGAACGCUGGCGGCAGGCCUAACACAUGCAAGUCGAACGCCGUAGCAAUACGGAGUGGCAGACGGGUGAGUAACACGUGGGAACGUACCCUUCGGUUCGGAAUAACUCAGGGAAACUUGAGCUAAAACCGGAUACGUCCGAGAGGAGAAAGAUUUAUCGCCGAGGGAUCGGCCCGCGUCUGAUUAGCUUGUUGGUGAGGUAACGGCUCACCAAGGCGACGAUCAGUAGCUGGUCGAGAGGAUGAUCAGCCACAUUGGGACUGAGACACGGCCCAAACUCCUACGGGAGGCAGCAGUGGGGAAUAUUGGACAAUGGGCGCAAGCCUGAUCCAGCCAUGCCGCGUGAGUGAUGAAGGCCCUAGGGUUGUAAAGCUCUUUUACCCGGGAAGACAAUGACUGUACCGGGAGAAUAAGCCCCGGCUAACUUCGUGCCAGCAGCCGCAGUAAG
rnacentral:rRNA from 1 species